CCUACGGGAGGCAGCAGUGAGGAAUAUUGGUCAAUGGGCGCGAGCCUGAACCAGCCAAGUCGCGUGAGGGAUGACGGUCCUAUGGAUUGUAAACUUCUUUUGUCGGGGAGUAAAAGGUGCCACGUGUGGCGUUUUGUGAGUACCCGAUGAAAAAGCAUCGGCUAACUCCGUGCCAGCAGCCGCGGUAAUACGGAGGAUGCGAGCGUUAUCCGGAUUUAUUGGGUUUAAGGGGGGCGCAGGGGGAUGAUAAAGUCGGCGGUAAAGUUGGGGGACUCAACCUCAAAGAGCAGUUGAAACUGGUUGUCUUGAGUACAGGAGAGGUAUGCGGAAUGUGUGGUGUAGCGGUGAAAUGCAUAGAUAUCACGAAGAACUCCGAUUGCGAAGGCAGCAUACCGGCACUCAACUGACGCUGAGGCACGAAAGUGUGGGUAUCAAACAGGAUUAGAUACCCCAGUAGUC
rnacentral:rRNA from 1 species